AUGGAUAUACAGUCAGUUGCUACCAUCACUGAAUACAACUCCUUUGAAUACCAUGCCAUCCAGGUAACUGUACUGAAAAAAUUCUUUUUGGUUGUCGUGUAUCGCCAACCAGGUCAACUCAGAGACUUUCUUGAUGAACUCAACACCCUGCUCUCCUCCAUUUCUGAGCACGACUGUCCCACAGUGGUCCUUGGAGAUGUGAAUAUUCACCUGGACAAUCCCAGCUCAUCAGGCUUCCUGUCACUAAUGUCAUCAUUUGAUCUAAAACUAGUACAAAGUCCUCCAACUCACAAAGCUGGAAAAGCACUUGACCUCAUUUUCACCAGAAACUGUGCCGUAGACACAAUCUCUGUCACACCGCUGCAUCUUUCCGAUCAUUACUUCAUCCAUUUCAGCACGACUCUACAAGGGAGGUCCACUGCUUCCUCCCCAAUGGUCUCAUUCCGCCGCAACCUCCGCAAUCUGGCACCCAACCACUUCUCCUCUCUUGUUGCCUCCACUCUUCCAUCUCCCAGCACAUUCUCUGCUUAUGAAGUGAAUGAAGCCACCGAGUCACUCUGCUCCACACUCUGCUCUUGUCUUAACAACUUGUGCCCUUUAGCCACUAGACCUGCUAGAUCCUCUCAGUCGCACCCUUGGCUAAAUGAUACCCUCCGGUCUCUACGCACCAAUCUUAGAGCUGCGGAACGGAAAUGGCGCAAAACAAAAGAUCCUGGUGAUCAAUUGAAAUUUCAGGAAUUACUGUCCUCAUUCUCUGCCAGCAUCACUGAUGCAAAGAAAGCUUUCUACACUGACAAAAUUCUCAGCUCUACUGACUCUCAGAAACUAUUUUCAACAUUCAAAACUCUGCUCAACCCUCCAUCUCCACCUCCUACCAACAAUCUAUCAGCUGACACCUUUGCCUCAUUCUUCACUGACAAAGUGGCAGCUAUAAGCAAACAGUUUACUCAACUGGCCACUCCUGAACAUUCGCUACCACAAACUCCUUCUAGCCCAACCAUCUCAAGCCCUACUGCUUCAUUUUCCUCUUUUUCCCCUCUCACUGAGAACUGUGUGUCCAAGCUUCUCACGUGCAGCCGCCCUACUACAUGCCCACUUGACCCCAUUCCGACUAAGCUGCUCCAAGCUAUUGCUCCUACAGUAGCCGCAGCAGUCACAUAUGUGAUCAACGCUUCACUGACAUCUGGUACAUUUCCCACCUCUCUCAAGCAUGCUCAGGUUAAACCGCUGCUAAAAAAAAAAAUCUCUUCCUCCAAAUCAUGUGGAGAACUACCGACCUAUCUCUCUCCUCCCUUUUCUGUCCAAAAUCAUUGA
rnacentral:lncRNA from 1 species